UACGGAGGGGGCUAGCGUUGUUCGGAAUUACUGGGCGUAAAGCGCGCGUAGGCGGACCUGCAAGUCGGGGGUGAAAGCCCGAGGCUCAACCUCGGAACUGCCUUCGAUACUGCGGGUCUCGAGUCCGGGAGAGGUGAGUGGAAUUCCCAGUGUAGCGGUGAAAUGCGUAGAUAUUGGGAGGAACACCGGUGGCGAAGGCGGUUCUCUGGGCCUUACCUGACGCUGAGGAGCGAAAGCAUGGGGAGCAAACAGG
rnacentral:rRNA from 1 species